rnacentral:rRNA from 1 species
UACGUAGGGGUGCGAGCGUUUGUCCGGAAUUAUUGGGCGUAAAGAGCUCGUAGGCGGUGUGUCGCGUCGGGCCGUGAAAACCCUGGCAGCUUAACUGUGGGCGUGCGGUCGAUACGGGCAUCACUGGAGUUCGGCAGGGGAGACUGGAAUUCCUGGUGUAGCGGUGAAAGUGCGCAGAUAUCAGGAGGAACACCGGUGGCGAAGGCGGGUCUCUGGGCCGAUGACUGACGCUGGAGGAGCGAAAGCGUGGGGAGCGAACAGG